UACGGAGGGUGCAAGCGUUAAUCGGAAUUACUGGGCGUAAAGCGUGCGCAGGCGGUUUGUUAAGUCUGCUGUGAAAUCCCCGAGCUCAACUUGGGAAUUGCAGUGGAUACUGGCAAGCUGGAGUACGGUAGAGGAAGGUGGAAUUCCCGGUGUAGCAGUGAAAUGCGUAGAGAUCGGGAGGAACACCAACGGCGAAAGCACUCUGCUGGGCCGACACUGACACUGAGAGACGAAAGCUAGGGGAGCGAAUGGG
rnacentral:rRNA from 1 species